rnacentral:rRNA from 1 species
UCAGAACUAACGCUGGCGGCGCGUCUAAAGCAUGCAAGUCGAACGUGAAAGUUCCUUCGGGAGCGAGUAAAGUGGCGAACGGGUGAGUAACGCGUGGGUCAUCUACCAUGGAGAUGGGGAUAACGUCGAGAAAUCGGCGCUAAUACCGAAUACGUCCGAAAGGAGAAACGGUGCGUUUGCAUCGCUCUGUGAUGAGCCCGCGUCCUAUUAGCUUGUUGGUGAGGUAACGGCCCACCCAANGGGCGACGAUGGGUAGCCGACCUGAGAGGGUGAUCGGCCACAUCGGGACUGAGACACGGCCCGGACUCCUACGGGAGGCAGCAGCUAAGAAUCUUCCGCAAUGGGCGAAAGCCUGACGGAGCGACGCCGCGUGGACGAAGAAGGCCUUAUCGGUUGUAAAGUCCUUGUCAGGCGUGGAAGAAUAAGUAGAGAGGAAAUGCUCUACGAUGACGGUACACCCAGAGGAAGCCCCCGGCUAAUUCCGUGCCAGCAGCCGCGGUAAUACGGAAGGGGCAAGCGUUGUUCGGAUUCAUUGGGCGUAAAGCGCAUGCAGGCGGUUUACUAAGUCUAGUGUGAAAUCCUGCAGCUCAACUGCAGAACUGCGCUGGAUACUGGUAAACUAGAGUCAGGGAGAGGAAGAUGGAAUUCCUGGUGUAGGGGUGAAAUCUGUAGAUAUCAGGAAGAACACCGGUGGCGAAGGCGAUCUUCUGGCCUAUGACUGACGCUCAGAUGCGAAAGCUAGGGGAGCGAACGGGAUUAGAUACCCCGGUAGUCCUAGCCGUAAACGUUGUUGACUAGGUGUUGGCAGUAUCGACCCUGUUAGUGCCGAAGCAAACGCAUUAAGUCAACCGCCUGGGGAGUAUGCCCGCAAGGGUGAAACUCAAAGGAAUUGACGGGGGCCCGCACAAGUGGUGGAGUAUGUGGCUUAAUUCGACGCUACGCGAAGAACCUUACCAGGGUUUGACAUGCAUCGGCUCGCCUGUGAAAGCAGGUUUUCCCUUCGGGGACUGAUGCACAGGUGCUGCAUGGCUGUCGUCAGCUCGUGUCGUGAGAUGUUGGGUUAAGUCCCGCAACGAGCGCAACCCCUAUUCUUUGUUGCCAUCGGUUCGGCCGGGCACUCGAAGGAAACUGCCGGUGACAAACCGGAGGAAGGUGGGGAUGACGUCAAGUCCUCAUGGCCCUUACGCCCUGGGCUGCACACGUACUACAAUGGCCGGUACAAAGAGGACCGAUACCGCGAGGUGGAGGCAAUCUCAAAAAACCGGCCCCAGUUCGGAUUGGAGUCUGCAACUCGACUCCAUGAAGUCGGAAUCACUAGUAAUCGUGGAUCAGCAUGCCACGGUGAAUGCGUUCCCGGGCCUUGUACACACCGCCCGUCACACCACGAAAGCGGAUUAUACCCGAAGUCGGUGCGCUAACCCUCUGGGAGGCAGCCGCCGAAGGUA